AGGGUUGUAGUUAAAUUAACAUUUGAUUUGCAUUCAAAAAAUACUAAACUAUUAGUCUACCUU
rnacentral:tRNA from 1 species